rnacentral:tRNA from 1 species
GUCCCGAUAGUAUANAAUAUUACUUUGGUCUUGUAAACCAAAAAUGAAGAUCAUUUCUUCUCAGGACA